AAUAUUGGACAAUGGGGGCAACCCUGAUCCAGCCAUGCCGCGUGUGUGACGAAGGUCUUCGUAUUGUAAAGCACUUUAAGUUGGGAGGAAGGGUUGUGGAUUAAUACUCUACAAUUUUGACGUUACCGACAGAAUAAGCACCGGCUAUCUCUGUUCCAGCAUCCUCGGUAAUACAGAGGGUGCAAGCGUUAAUCGGAAUUACUGGGCGUAAAGCGAGCGUAGGUGGUUCGUUAAGUUGGUAGUGAAUGCCGUGGGCUUAACCUGGGAAUUGCUUUCAAAACUGACGAGCUAGAGUACGGUAGAGGGUAGUGGAAUUUCCUGUGGAGCGGUUAAAUGCGUAGAUAUAGGAAGGAACAUCAGUGGCGAAGGCGACUACCUGGACUGAUACUGACACUGAGGUGCGAAAGCGUGGGGAGCAAACAGG
rnacentral:rRNA from 1 species